GAUGAACGCUGGCGGCGUGCAUAACACAUUCAAGUCGAACGGGGUAAUCCUUCGGGAUUACUUAGUGGCGAACGGGUGAGUAACGCGUGAAGAACCUGCCUUUCAGUGGGGGACAACAGUUGGAAACGACUGCUAAUACCGCAUAAUGUUAUUUGGGGGCAUCCCUGAAAUACCAAAGCUUUAUGUGCUGAAAGAUGGUCUCGCGUCUGAUUAGCUAGUUGGUGAGGUAACCGGCUCACCAAGGCGACGAUCAGUAGCCGGUCUGAGAGGAUGAACGGCCACAUUGGGACUGAGAUACGGCCCAGACUCCUACGGGAGGCAGCAGUGGGGAAUAUUGGGCAGUGGGGGAAACCCUGACCCAGCAACGCCGCGUGAAGGAGAAGGUUUCGGAUUGUAAACCUCUGUCCUAAGUGAAGAGAAGAAGACGGUAGCUUAGGAGGAAGCCCCGGCUAACUACGUG
rnacentral:rRNA from 1 species